rnacentral:rRNA from 1 species
UGGGGAAUAUUGGACAAUGGGGGGAACCCUGAUCCAGCCAUGCCGCGUGUGUGAAGAAGGCCUUAUGGUUGUAAAGCACUUGAAGCGAGGAGGAGGGUACUGGUAUUAAUACUACCAGGUACUGGACGUUACUCGCAGAAUAAGCACCGGCUAACUCUGUGCCAGCAGCCGCGGUAAUACAGAGGGUGCGAGCGUUAAUCGGAUUUACUGGGCGUAAAGCGUGCGUAGGCGGCUAAUUGAGUCGGAUGUGAAAUCCCCGAGCUUAACUUGGGAAUUGCAUUCGAUACUGGUUAGCUAGAGUGUGGGAUAGGAUGGUAGAAUUCCAGGUGUAUCGGUGAAAUGCGUAGAGAUCUGGAGGAAUACCGAUGGCGAAGGCAGCCAUCUGGCCUAACACUGACGCUGAGGUACGAAAGCAUGGGGAGCAAACAGG